UGGGGAAUAUUGCACAAUGGGCGCAAGCCUGAUGCAGCCAUGCCGCGUGUAUGAAGAAGGCCUUCGGGUUGUAAAGUACUUUCAGUCGGGAGGAAGGUGGUAAGGUUAAUAACCUUGGCAAUUGACGUUACCGACAGAAGAAGCACCGGCUAACUCCGUGCCAGCAGCCGCGGUAAUACGUAGGGCGCGAGCGUUGUCCGGAAUUAUUGGGCGUAAAGGGCUUGUAGGCGGCUUGUUGCGCCUGCUGUGAAAACGCGGGGCUUAACUUCGCGCGUGAAGUGGGUACGGGCAGGCUUGAGUGUGGUAGGGGUGACUGGAAUUCCAGGUGUAGCGGUGGAAUGCGCAGAUAUCUGGAGGAACACCGAUGGCGAAGGCAGGUCACUGGGCCAUUACUGACGCUGAGGAGCGAAAGCAUGGGUAGCGAACAGG
rnacentral:rRNA from 1 species